AUACGGAGGAUGCGAGCGUUAUCCGGAUUUAUUGGGUUUAAAGGGAGCGUAGGUGGGAUAUUAAGUCAGCUGUGAAAGUUUGGGGCUCAACCUUAAAAUUGCAGUUGAUACUGGUUUCCUUGAGUACGGUACAGGUGGGCGGAAUUCGUGGUGUAGCGGUGAAAUGCUUAGAUAUCACGAAGGACUCCGAUCGCGAAGGCCGCUCACCGGGCCGGAACUGACACUGAUGCUCGAAAGUGCGGGUAUCAAACAGGAUUAGAUACCCUGGUAGUCCGCACAGUAAACGAUGAAUACUCGCUGUUUGCGAUACACUGUAAGCGGCCAAGCGAAAGCGUUAAGUAUUCCACCUGGGGAGUACGCCGGCAACGGUGAAACUCAAAGGAAUUGGCGGGG
rnacentral:rRNA from 1 species